rnacentral:rRNA from 1 species
UACAGAGGGUGCGAGCGUUGUUCGGAAUUAUUGGGCGUAAAGGGCGCGUAGGCGGUGCGGUAAGUCACCUGUGAAAUCUCCUGGCUCAACUGGGAGCUUGCAGGCGAAACUGCCGUGCUGGAGUGUGGGAGAGGUGCGUGGAAUUCCUGGUGUAGCGGUGAAAUGCGUAGAUAUCAGGAGGAACACCGGUGGUGUAGACGGCUUUCUGGACCGACACUGACGCUGAGACACGAAAGCGUGGGUAGCAAACAGG